rnacentral:rRNA from 1 species
GUGAACGCUGGCGGUAGGCCUAACACAUGCAAGUCGAACGGCAGCAUAGUAAGAGCUUGCUCUUACGGGUGGCGAGUGGCGGACGGGUGAGGAAUACAUCGGAAUCUACUUUUUCGUGGGGGAUAACGUAGGGAAACUUACGCUAAUACCGCAUACGACCUACGGGUGAAAGCAGGGGAUCUUCGGACCUUGCGCGAUUGAAUGAGCCGAUGUCGGAUUAGCUAGUUGGCGGGGUAAAGGCCCACCAAGGCGACGAUCCGUAGCUGGUCUGAGAGGAUGAUCAGCCACACUGGAACUGAGACACGGUCCAGACUCCUACGGGAGGCAGCAGUGGGGAAUAUUGGACAAUGGGCGCAAGCCUGAUCCAGCCAUACCGCGUGGGUGAAGAAGGCCUUCGGGUUGUAAAGCCCUUUUGUUGGGAAAGAAAAGCAGCAGGUUAAUACCCCGCUGUUCUGACGGUACCCAAAGAAUAAGCACCGGCUAACUUCGUG